rnacentral:lncRNA from 10 species
GGCCGCACCACAAGAUGGCGGCCCGCCCCAGGGUCCCACACGCGGGGCUGCGGAGGCGGCGGCCCCGAGGGUCCCCGCCCCUUGCUGGCCCUGUCCCCGCGUGCGGGGCUGCGACCUGCCUUUGUGUGCGGGUGGAAGUGCGGGCCGCCUUGGGGCCGAGUUGCAACUUCGCGACACUCCACUGGAGUGCGAUGAGACGAUGAGAUGUUACCUCCUAACACUUCGGGAGGUGGGCAGCAUGGCAAUUCCUAGUAACCUCAACGCGAUUCACUCAGACUUCCUUUUUCCCAUCCUGAGCCGCAAAACCAGGAACUGGUGAAAUAAAUCAGGCCAUCUUUCAGAGGAAUGGCCUGCCACCGUUAAAAAGAGCAAAGCUGCAGUUUAUGUACUAAUGUGGAACCAGCUCUGAGAUAAAUUAAGUGAAAGAAAGCAAAGCACAGGAAAAUGUGUAUAGAUAUGCCUUUGUGUUUUUAAACAAGAAGACCCACAUAAAUGAAGAUAUGAAUGUGUAAGCAUAGUAUAGCGGUAAUGGUAAUAGCGAUCGCCCAGCCUAAGGAAGGGAAUGGAGAGAUACGGAACAAGGAUGGGAGGAGACAGUUUUCAUCUAAGACCGUUGGGUUUUCUGAGCUUUGUACCAUGGACAGGUGUUAAUUUUAAAUUUUUUGUAAAUAUUUAAAUUAUGGCUUAAAGACAAGUUCUUUUGUAAGGGUAUAAGGGCAGACUAGCACAUAGAAAAAAAAAGACUUUUUUAACCUGGAAC